GACGGAGGAUGCAAGUGUUAUCCGGAAUCACUGGGCGUAAAGCGUCUGUAGGUGGUUCGAAAAGUCCACUGUUAAAAAUUGAGGCUUAACCUCAAAGAUGCCGUGGAAACUUUCAAACUAGAGUAUGGUAGGGGUAGAGGGAAUUUCCAGUGGAGCGGUGAAAUGCGUAGAUAUUGGAAAGACCACCGAUGGGCGAAGGCACUCUACUGGGCCAUUACUGACACUGAGAGACGAAAGCUAGGGGAGCAAAUGGG
rnacentral:rRNA from 1 species